rfam:TPA: Bos taurus chromosome 14, whole genome shotgun sequence.
UCCCUGGUGGCUCAGAGGUUAAAGCGUCUGCUUCCAAUGCAGGAGACCCUGGUUCGAUCCCUAGGUCGGGAA